GCCAACGGGUGCUGUGGUGGGCGGCUGUGAGCCAGUGUAUAGGCGGCAGAUUGGUGUGGAUGGAGUGAGGGGAGGAGUCCCGCUGUGGCCGUGGAGUGUGGCGACCGGACGUCCGUGUCAAGCGUUGUGUCGCCAGGGUUGUGCCGUCGGAGGACGGCACCACCCCGGCUGGUUAAGGAGUGGUGUACGGCUCAGGAUCGAAAGGGAGCUGGCAAAAAUCCACCACCCCAGACAGUGGCCGGAGAGCGCCCGUGAGCACCUGCUGUGUCGUGGGCUCUCCGAUACCUCCAGACCUCCAGUCGU
rfam:Dictyocaulus viviparus strain HannoverDv2000 D_viviparus-1.0_Cont1430.2, whole genome shotgun sequence.